rnacentral:rRNA from 1 species
UGACUUUUUAUAAUAAGUUUUUUCUGCCCGGUGGUGUUUUUUAACGGCCGCGGUAUUUUGACCGUGCAAAGGUAGCAUAAUCAUUUGUCCUUUAAUUGGGGGCUAGAAUGAAAGAAAGUUUGAAGCUUUUUCUGUCUCUUUUUUAUUUUUGUAAUUUGCUGUUCUUGUGAAGAAGCAAGAGUUGUUAAAAAAGACAAGAAGACCCUAUUAAGCUUUAUUUUUUUGUUUUUAUUCGUUUGAAUAUAAAAACAAAAAGAUUUGGUUGGGGUGACUAAAGAAGAAAAAUUUAUCUUCUUUUUUUAAAAAUAACUAUUUGUUUAACAGAGACCCAAAAUUUUUUGGUUGUAAGAAUUAGUUACUAUAGGGAUAACAGCGUUAUCUUUUCAUAAAGUUCUUAUUGAAGAAAAGGAUUGCGACCUCGAUGUUGACUUACUUUAUCCUAUAAAGGUGUAGCAGCUGUGAGGGUUGGUCUGUUCGACCAUUAAAAA